AUUGAACGCUGGCGGCAGGCCUAACACAUGCAAGUCGAGCGGAUGAAGGGAGCUUGCUCCUGGAUUCAGCGGCGGACGGGUGAGUAAUGCCUAGGAAUCUGCCUGGUAGUGGGGGAUAACGUCCGGAAACGGGCGCUAAUACCGCAUACGUCCUGAGGGAGAAAGUGGGGGAUCUUCGGACCUCACGCUAUCAGAUGAGCCUAGGUCGGAUUAGCUAGUUGGUGGGGUAAAGGCCUACCAAGGCGACGAUCCGUAACUGGUCUGAGAGGAUGAUCAGUCACACUGGAACUGAGACACGGUCCAGACUCCUACGGGAGGCAGCAGUGGGGAAUAUUGGACAAAGGGCGAAAGCCUGAUCCAGCCAUGCCGCGUGUGUGAAGAAGGUCUUCGGAUUGUAAAACACUUUAAGUUGGGAGGAAGGGCAGUAAGUUAAUACCUUGCUGUUUUGACGUUACCAACAGAAUAAGCACCGGCUAACUUCGUG
rnacentral:rRNA from 1 species